GACCUGAUGAUCUUAGAAGGCUUUUCCAACCUAAACAAUUCUAUGAUUCUACUUAAUGAAAUACGUAAAUAGGAAGUCAAGCAAAAAAAUCUCCUACUGGGCUCCUAUUAUGUGAUAGCAGAUGCAUGUGAGACUCUUGUCCCCAUCUGCCUGUUUCAUCUUAGAUAAGAAAACAUUAUAUUAAUUGUGACUAUCAUAUUAAUUACAUCUGAUUGUUUAGGACAUGAGUUACUGAAUGCAUCUCUCUCAGUGCAGGUGCCACAAUUUUCAAUGUGAUGAACUAUAGCAAUCAUGGAAAACUAGAUAAUUUAUUUAUAAUUUACACUGAAAGAGUGAAAUUUAGUUUUUAGGGAAAAUAUGUAGAUCUUUCAGUCAUUAAGGAAAUUACAGUCACUCUUGUUGUAGUAAUUUCUCUUUUAUAAAAAUGUUGCUUAAGGAAGAAAAACUACUUGACUCUAAUUGAUUUUGACUAUAUUUUAUUCUUUUACACCUGUCGUCUUAUCUACAUGUCUCUCAGAUUUAAGACUACAGAAAUGACUGUAGCUGAAGGUGAUAUUUGUGAUGAGCUAGAGAUUAUAUUGAAACUUUUGAACUCAUUUAGGCUAUGACAUUCUAUGGCAGAUUAAUUAAAAUAAUUCACAGCUACUUCAGCCUGGGACAGAGAAAGGGAAACAAGCCUCAGAUGUGAAAUGCACUCAUCAGGUUCACUAUCUGCUUGAUUACUCUUGCAUCCAUCACAUUUGUUCUGCGGUGAGUCAUCAAUAUUUUGGCCAUGCAAAAAAUGGCAGAUGAACACUCCUGUGGUGAAAAGGCAAGUCUUUUCCCACUGGUGACACCAAUAAGCUUUAUGCGUGCCUCCAGAAGUGAAGUGAACAAUGGAAAAUACUUCCCUUUUUCAAAUACUUUAUCAAAAGUUCUGUGUGAUUCACCUCCAUGAUCUUUCUGAGCCUCUGCUCAGUGAGGAAGCCAAAAGCUUGGCUCUCUGUCUUCAUUCCACACUCUCAUGGCACACUGCUUCAGCCUGUCUACAAGGUUGACCAUAAACUACUUGAGGUGAUGACAGGCUUUUAUUUCUCUGGAUGUUUAAAAUUCACCACAGAAGGUAAGAAGUCAUUUAGCUAUCGUUCUUUGCUUUAUUUUUUCCUUCGUAAAUGCCCAAAUUAAAGAGCUUUCCUCACCAACAAUUAGCAAUCUUUUUAGCUUAGCCUGCCAACAGCUCCAGGGGUGUUUGUUUGCUUUUUUGUUUUUUUUAGGGAGGGGCAUUCUUUUGUGAACAAUGAAAAAUUAAAAACUCAUCUAAUAAAGUUGAUUUCAACUGUCUUAUGUUAGGAAAUAAAUGUUUUCUCUGGUGUCAUAUGGCUCUGCUGAGAUUUCAAUUGAUCUUUGUGCUCGUUUUCUCAUUUUCCAGCUGAAAUUCAUCUAGGGCUUAGACAUGGUGUUACUGUGUUUACCUUCAAUGCCUCCCGUUGUUCUUCCAGGGAUCUGUGAUGACAUGUCUUCAUCUUUUCAUUCCUAGUUUACUUUGUCAUACUGCCAGAAUUAAAAUGUGUGUUAUGUGCAUUUCAGAUCCUUGAAUGUGAUAACAACCUUCAGGUCUAAGAAGGGUACUGAGAUGUCAAAACUGAGAUGUGAUGCCUUACAUCUGCAGUCUUUGAUUCAUGGGAAUAUACAGGAAAGUUUCUCAAAAAGAAAAAAAAGAUUGUUUUACAAACACAAAUAAGUUGUCUGAGGAUACCAGGCUUCUCAGCCUAGGAUACAUUUAAUUGAAUUCAGCAGAGAGAGAUCCAUAGUGUGGGAUAUGUAUUUGCCCUGUGUGGUAAUUUGUGCAAUUUCCAUGAAGUAGUAAGCUCAAGAGCUGAAUUCAGUUCUGAGGCUACAGUGAACUUCAUAGCUCCUUGAAACAGCAUUUUCUCUACUUUACAUUCUGAUUCUAUUUCUUUUAGUAAGUCUAAUUCAUGUUUUACAUAUCCAUAGUACUGUUAAAAUGUGAAUCAUUCUAAGAAACUCUUUAUGACAGCCUGGCUAUAGAGUCUGAAAAGGGGGUGGGAGGGAAGAGACUGUACUAAAAAAGAUCAUAGAAGAACACUGUGCUAGAAACUGCAGUACAAUUCAGCUGUUCCCAGAUGCUUGCUGAAGAUGUUAGCCCACAUUUAUGUUUUGAGAAAAGGAAACUAAUAGGGUUUUUGUAUUCUAGCUCAGAGUACUCCAAAGUCCUUAAAAAGCCUUAUGGCCUUUUCUGAUUUUUUUCACUGGUAUUUUAAUUCUCCAUUUUAAAAUUAAGGUGAAAUAGGGGAAAAAUUGUUUUUUACUGUGACAGCACCUAAAGUCUGUAGUCAAAAUCAUGUCUCUAUUGGCUAAAUGCAGAACAAAUACAUAACCACAAAUCCUCUGUGUCACUAAAAGGUGGUGAUUUCACUUAAUAUGCCAGACUCUAAGUAAGUAUAGCAGAUAUAGGAACACAUACUGGUCAUACUAAUUAGGUGUUCAUGCCUCUUGGCACUAAUAUGUUAGUGCAUGAUUCCAACAUGUUGUGGAAAAAACCAUGUUUGGGAUGAUAUGGGUUCUUCCAUUAGGAGGAGAAGUUCCUGGUAGGUAUUUAUUUUUUGCCUUGCUUAUUUACAGAAAAAGUCUUUUUUCAAUGAGCAUAGUCAGGCAACAACAACAGGCGAUUUAUUUGCAGAAUCACUUCCAAAUCUUUGCGUGCUCCGUGCUCUCCUUCCAUGCCACACUUACCUCAGAAUUGCUGAGACACUUGGUUCCUUCUCCAGGUAUGUGUAAAAGAAACAUGGCAUGAUGAGGACUUCUGCCUUUGGUCUCUGUCAGCUGUGGUGUUUUGUAAGAACUAUUGUUCAGCCAUUUAAAUCCAGAAUGGACUUACUUGCUCCUUACCUCUAUCCUCAGUGACACGAAGCUAUUUAUUCAAGCUGUGUAAUUAGCUAAGCUGUGUUACUAGGUGAACAUAUUAGUGAAGGAAUAUAUUGCUUACCCUAGGUGUGGAAAUAUUUUAAAGUUUCAACUCUUAAAUAUUUUUAAGCUUCAAAAUGACCUUUUUCUUCUUAAUCACAUUAUGGAUAUUUUACACACUGUGAUAUUUUUCUCCCAGAGUGUGACUGGAUUGCUCUUUUAGCCCUGAUUCAGCAAAGCACUGAGGUAUUUCCUGCUUUAAAAAUCAGCAAAACACUAAUAUAUUUCCUGCUUUAAAAAAAGAUUAAAGGUCUUAGAAUAAUCCUUGGAAAUUCUGCCCCAGUUUAUUGAGAAUUUUAUUUAAAAAUUCAAAGACAGACUGUUAUUCUUCAGACUGUAUCAUAUCCUAAACAAUUCUAAUGAAAGAAUAUAAAAUUUUUCUUCUAGCUUAUUUUCUUUUGUUUCCUAUGGGAAGGCUCAUAAGGCUGUGAUGGCUUAUUUAUUUGAAUUAUAUUGUUUAUUUGUGAAAGACAGUAAGACUCUUACAUCACAAGACAUUCUCCCCUAAGUUUAAUACACAAAACCAUGUGAGUGAUAUUGAAGAAAUGCUUGUCCCUGUUAAUUAUUUUAUUUCUCUGAAUGACAAAAUGUUGGAAAUCCAAAUCUCAAAAAGGAAGUUAAUUGUCUCAUGAUUUUGCUGACACUGCUUUUGAGCUUUUGAGAAACAUGUUUUUCCAUUAUGUUAGUCACUGGAGAAGUUAUAUUCCGUAAAACAGGUUCCUUAUAGAAUUGAUGCCACCCUUGAUCACAGUGCUCCCUGUUGAAAAGUGCAUCACAGUAUUUCAUAAAGAAAAUUAUUGUAUCAUAGGUUUUAACAUUGGCACUUUAAUUGGCAACCACUGAUUGGUUUCUAGAUCAGCUGUAUGAUUCCCUGUAGAAAAGAUUCCACUUUAGGGUAACAUUUAAUUGAUGAGCAUCUGGCAAAUAAGUUCAAGAAAUGCAUGUGUACAGAAGUAAGCUUGAAGGGAUUGUCAUUUGCUGUUCCCAGAUUGCCCUUUCUAUUAGAGGACUACUGUACGUCAGAUUUGAAUAGGAAAACUCCCUUUAGGAGCUUGUCCUUGCAACCUUGAUAGAAAAGUAUCAUGAUCAGGCACUGGAACGGCAUCACAAAUGUUACAGCAGCAUGACGGGGAUCAAGAGCUAUAUAAUAAGGAGGUUUCACACAGCUUAAGAAGCACAGGUGAUAGAGAAAUACAACUAGAUAAAGUGUUCUUCAUUCAGCCAAAACUCCUACACUUCAGUAGAAUUAGUUCAUAUUUGACUCUGUUUUAAAUGAGAAUCCUUCAGUUCUGUUUAACAAAUGAAUGUAUAAAAUGAUUCUAUAAUUCUUUUAUUUUGGAUUACAUGCUCCUGGCAUAACAGCAAAGUGAGCAGACUUGAAACUUCUGAAGACAAAAUAAACACUGAAACAAUAUUGUCAUGAUCCUUUCCUUCACAAAGCCACAAAUGAGACAUUUGGGAACGGAAAACUGUUUUGAGGGAACAUUAAAUUGGCCAAGAACAAAUUGCUACAGAAAAUGACAUCCUCUUCUGAACAUCCAUUAGUUUCUGAUAAUCAGGAAUGCUCGGAUGCUUGAACAUUCCAUUAGUACGAAGCAGCGAGUUAAUUGUAAUAAUUAUCAGCAGUUUUAAUUGUUUUGUUAUAAUGUAUUUUGCAGUUUGUUUGACAGCGUGAAAUCAAUAUGCACCUCUAGGAAAAAUAUCUAGUAUAAUAAAAUUAUGCUCCAUUAUGCCUUCCAACCUCAGAAUUAAACUUUGUACAUAAAUGUGUAUUUCUGUUUGUGUAUGCAGAAGAAUUAUACUGAAUGAGUAGAGAUGCGUAAAUAAAUUGGAAUCUGUUGUUAAAGUGGAAGAUGGAGUCUCCUCUUAAAAAUUGUUUCUGUCUUUCAAACCUUUAAUUUUCAGGUAAGACAUCAGAAAACCAUUGCUACCUCUCUUCGACUUUUUGUAUUAUACUUUUAUAUUAAAAAAUACUUUACAGAGAUUUUGGUAGUAAUUUCUAGAAUGCCUGUACUGAUGUCAUGUUAACAAAAAUGUGGUGAUGUACGUGAAUGUUAAUUGUAAUGAUGAUUUCCAGAUGGAGAUCCCAAAGCACAAAACUUGGAGUGGAGCAGAAAAAAGCCACAAAAAUGAUUUAAGGACUGUGGAGAGGUAUACUUCAAUGAGAUAUUCUAACAAUUUUAUAUGGCAAAAGGAAGACAUACAGACAGUUUGAUUACAGUGCUUAAAUAUUGUUUUGUGAGAACACCCUGCAUACUCAAGGGCUUUUUACUCUUAUGGAAAAAAAAAAUAAAAGAACUGUAGUCAUCACAAGAACCAAUAGCAAGAUGCUGCAGUCAGAAAAAAAACCAGCCUGGAAAUAAAAUUUUAGGUUUAGUAGUGAUUUUAAUGGAUGAUCAACUGGUAGAUUAAACUACCAAAAGAAGUGAGAGAUUCUACAUUUCUGUGUUUCUCCAGAUACCUUUAGAAAAAUAUUUAUUUUAGUCAAAUAUAAGUUAUUGAGUUUUGUAAGUUAUAAAUAGGAUGAAGUGUAGUGGUCUAAGUUAUAAUGUUUUGUGAUAUAUGAGGUGUCAGACAAAAUAAUACAAUGGUUCCUCCUGGUCUUAUGCUGUGAUCCAAUUAAAAGAGGUUAUUACUUACUCAUUUUGUGUGCAGCUUUCACAUUGAAGUCUCUUGACAAGAGAUGUAAGUACCUGUAACUGUCUUGGGAGUGUUAAAAACUUCAUUAUUGUUUGUUCUUUUUUUAUUUGCCUGUGGAAAAAGACAGAAGAUGCUGUGAGUCCUGGAGAGACUUGAGAGGAUCAGAAGCUGAGCUGGAUCCCAGACAAAGACAGGCAGUCAUCAUUCAUCCCUCUAUGAAGACAAAAGUUGGGGAAGAGAAGAAAUUAGUGAGGAAAAAGAUGACAGACGGGAUGGAGGUGGGGAGCAGCGAGACCAACCUGAAAAGAUUUGUGAUUACUACACUAGGAAACACAUAAAAUUUUGGAGCUAAUUUCCUACAGUCUCAUUUACAUAUGAAACCUGAGGUGUUGCUGCUUUCCUCUGAUAGGGAAAAACCACACUGAGAUGCCACAUUGUUUGGAGAAAAUGGCAAAAAUGCCUUCAGAAGGAUGCUUGGGAGGACGAAAGCUAUGCAAAUGACACAUCAGCAGUUGUAUUUGGAGACUGGCUAAGCCUCACGCAUGCAAGAUGCACACUAACAGAUAUGAAAGGAAAAAAGGAAGAAAUUAAUUCCAAAGGCAAUAUUAUCUUGCUGAGUAAGCACAGCAGUCACCCUUGAGGUAGAUUGGCUUCUACAUCCACAGGAAGCAAGCAAGGAAAAAUAAGAUUCUCAAGAAAACCAGUCAGACGAUCAAAAGAAAACGACUUAUAUGGUAUGAUGAUCUUGGAGAAAAAGGAUGCUUAAGCUAUAUGAGUAUCCACAGAAAGUCACCAUUGGCUGGGGUUGAAGAGAGAUGGGACAAAAGAAGAGACAGUGUAUCCAGGACCUUAUCUCUCACUUUGGUGAAGAAGAAUGCAGAGAGAGAUAUGUUGAGGAAGUGUGAGAGAAAAUCUGAAAAAAAAAAAAAAAAAGACAGGAAAAAAGAGAGCCUAAAAGGUUUUGAAUUCAUACAACAGAAUCCAAAGGUGACAGCAGCCUGGUGAAAAUUCAGCCUGGGGCUAUUAACUGGUGUGUGUAACGGAUGCGUGUAUUAAUAAUCAAUGGUGGGAGAUUCAAAUGAAAUUAUCUAAUAAGGUAUUAGUAAUAUGAAAUAUCCCUAUGAAAUGAAAGUAAGUUCUUAACUAAAUGAACAUAAGAAAUCAUUCCUUCCUACAAGAUUCAGGAAUAAUUUUUUAUCCAACUCUAGGCAUUGCUAUUUAAAGAGGGGUUGGGUGGAAAACUGAUUCUAAAUUUACAAAGAAUAUAGAACUAAGUCUGUGAAAAGAGGGCUUUUUUUCUGUUUUGCAGUAUGCUCUCCUAAUCUUUGUUACAGCUAGUGGUAAUAGAGAAAGUUGGCACUGGUUUUUGGAGCAGAUAAAGAAAAAAGUGCACCACCUCGUUCCAAUAAUUUCAUUACCAUUUAAAGGGUGUUAUUUUGCAUAUGCCGGAACUUUCAGAAUAGACAUAAGUGUGAUUUGUUGAAGCCAGUGACACCUACUUUUCUGAAUAGGAUACUUAACUGGAACAUUUGUCUCGGAAAAGAUUACACUACUUUUUUCCCCCUCAAAAAAAUCAGUCAGAUCAAUUUCUCUUUAUUUCCAUUUGGUACAUAAAGUAGCUGUUGUCCAGAAUUAGUAAAAAUUAUAAUUUCAGAGAUCAAGUCUAUUAAUGUAUGUAGAAGUAAAGAACCCAGACUGGAUUGAACCGAGUGAUGUAUAAAAAAUUCCCGUGAUCUCUUCAGCUUUUGAGAUUGUACCAAUACUGCAGAUGUUUCAACAGCAAACACAUUGCUGAGAUUUCUUUUCUUUUGUUCUUCUGACCUCAGCAUAUUGUCAGUCAGAGCUUCCAUGUCAGUCACCUUGGGAAGGAAGCAGCAGCAGCAGAUCCAUUAAAAAACAUUUCUUCCCUGUUAAGAAAACUUCAUUUCUAUUAGUAUUGCCAGUCUUAAGUUUUCUCUCUGUCUCUGAGACUAGAGAGAAUGCUUGAGACCAACAGCAACUUUCAAAAUGUAGCUGCUGGAGAAAAGCAUCAACUGCUGGCUCUUCAGAGUCAGCAAAGUUAGAAGAAAAAGAGUACACAGUUGUGUUUCUGGCAACACUUCAGAAAGCAUAGCCAGUAAUGUUGAAAUAAAUAAAUAAACAUAAAAAAAACAUAGUGGAAGAGAGACACAAGUAGAGUUUUAAAACUGUAAUUAGAAGGCACCAAAUAUAUCUAACAAAAUAAGAGUUUCUGUUAGCAACUACUGUUGGAGACAGGAUACUAGGGAUAGAUGGAUCACCCAGCAUAACACUUCCUCUGUUCCUCUUUUUAAAUGCUAUUUUUAAAACUAAGAUAAACUGUGUUUAAAUACAGGAAGUAGACCAUUGAGAAACAGUCUGUUCUAAGAGAUUAACAAAUUUCCUCAAGCUUUUUGAUGAAUCUGCCAUUUCCUGCUCGAAGAGAGUCUUUUUUGGUAACGGGAAUGCAUUUAACCCCUUCUAAUUUGAAUCUUGACUACGCUCUAGUAAGCUUGAAAACCUGUAAUUUAUCAUAAUGUGGUGAUGUCAUCAGGACAUUUUGCAUAGCAAAGAAGUAUUUUUUUCAAAUUAAAUAAGAGAUAUGUUUUCCCUCAAGGUGUAGGAUUUUGCCUAUACUUCUGAUUACCUUAAAUAGAAUCUGUCUGUAGGUUGUGUUUCCUGUUUCAGUCUAAAGGUAUGUUCAGCAUGACCAUGGAUGCACAGGUCUGUGAACAGGUCUAGCAAUCAGAUUUCUUUUGGCUCCUCUGCAGGUAAUGUCAGAGGAAAAACUAUAGGCACUGGGGGUGCUACAAUUUGUUUGCAUUUUGACUGUGUUGAGACAUUGAUAAUUGAAUCAUGGGUGACAUUGACUAUUAUGCAUCAGGAUUUAGGAUUAGGGUAUUGGUCAAAUUACUAUUCUUUGAAAGGGGAGCUUUGUAAUGAAGUUAAUUAAAAUCCAGCUUCUUUUGUAAGUCAGUGGGAAUUAGGUACCCAAAUGUCUUCUGUGCCUUUGAAAAUCUCUGCAUAAGUUUAUAAAUUUGAUCACAACAGUCCCUUCUGGCCCUCUAAUCUAUGAAUCUCUUAAAUUUCCUACCAUGGGAAUUAAACUAAUUUUCGGCUCACAGAUUGGUUACACUGAGAUCCACUUCAUUUACUUACUGAUGGGAUUUAUUUUUCCCUGUUUUAUGGUGAAGAAAAUAUAAACCCCUCUUUAAUUCAUGAUAGCAGUUGUUGAUUUUGUUUGUUUGCUGGGAAUUUAUUUUGGGAAGUGGAUGACCAUUUCUGUAGAGGUUUUUUAAGGCAAACAGCAGGGUUUAAAUCAAAUAGUUUAAGUUUUUAUUAUGCAUUUUUAAUAUUAUUUCAACAGUAAAGAGAGCAUGUAAUCAGCAAAAAGAGAAAGCAAGCACACUGCAGGGCUGGAAGGGAAAGCUUACUUUGAUUUUUCCUUCCUCAGUGAUGCAUGGAUGAGAGGACAUUAUAGAUUCAUAUCCCAAAUCUUCGUUCGCGAAGCCUAGCCAUGAUAGAUUCAUACAUGAUUGCUGAAUCCCAGGAGGACUGCAAAGUGACUUUUUUCUUUCUCUAUAAGGCUUUGUCAUGAAACAACAAUAUGAGACAAAGAACAGAUAAUUCAAAAUUUUUGUGUACAUCUCCUUUGUCCUUUAAAAGUACCCUGAAAAAUAUUAGGAUUUUCCCUAGGAGCUUAGGGUUCCCAUGAAGAAUAAGUGCUACUUAUUGUAACACAGAAAACUGUUUUCCAACACUAUAGAUUGGACUAAGAAGACUAAUCCCUCAAAACCCUGCACUGCACGUGUGUUCAGCUCACCACCAUUGUUGUAAUACUGGAAAAGAUUUGGAUGUAUCUGAAAUAUAAGUAUAAAUACAAGUAUAAGCAGUUGCUUAUUUGUUUUUAAUUACUCACUCUGCUUCUUUCUAACUCCUUUUAAUUUGAACUUUUGUGCAUUAUGAAAAUAAUACAUUCUGAUAUGCUUUUGAGUUCACUCAUUUAGUAAGAUUACCAUGCUCUUAUUGAUAAGCGCCACUUGCUCCAAGUGAAUCUUUGUAAAUGUAAGAAUCUUUACAAUUCACCGGAAUAUAUUUUUUCAGAUGAAAGAAAAACUCUAUUGUGUUUUGAAAAUCUGCUUCUCUGUAAAUAGAAACCUCACUAAAUCCACUAGCAGGCAUUUCAUUAUUUUUAGAAUUUCACUGUAAACUCCUGUGAAUAUUGAUUGUCAAUUUUAUACUUUUAUAAGAUAUUGGGAGAGAACUGGGUUGACACAAGAUAGAUAGUUUUCUUUAGGAUCUAUAGUAAUAAUCAUGGAACUAAAAUCUAGUCUAGCCUGUAUUCUUCUCCGCCUAUAAAGAUCUGGUAAUAUUCUUAGUCCAAUAGGUUCAAUUUAGUUGCCUAAACCCAGCCAUCUAGGGCAAGCUGAGACACCUUAUAGUGUGCUCUAGAUGACCUUCAGCAGGUGCAGACUUUGAGCAUUAUGUUGGCUGCCUUUUUAUGAAUGUCUCAGAUAUUCUGGUUGUUCCAGUGGUACCAAAUACCUAUGUGUUGGCAGCUGAAACAAGGAUUCUGUUCCAGGCUGUGGUUAAGAGUGCUCUGCCUGCCUAUUAGCUGUGUGUUUAUCUCCUAUUAUGGAAAUUGAUCAGUACAAUCGGUGGAGACCAAGUCUUCUCACGCUAAAGUAGUCACCUACAUUUGGUCAAUUUACUAAUUCUCUGGACUCCACUUACUGGGCUAAAGUCUAAAAGAAGGCAGAAAAACAGAGUACGAUAUUUAGUGGCAGGUAAAAACAAAUUUAAAUAUUUUUUGAGUAAUUAAAGUUAGGAAAAAUAUUAUACAUUAAUUUGCAUAGAAAAUAAAAUUUGGACCUGAUAGCAUCUCCUUCUUCAGAUAUUCUAUUUCCUCUUUUUUUACCUGAGGGGUUGCUACUUAAAAGAAGGCUUGGUUGAAUGACAAGUUCAUAGAACCACAGAAUACUUAAAUCAUCUAAAAAAAGAAACAAUAUAUAUAAAAAUUGAAUUGUUUUUCAUCUUCCCCACCACUUAUAUAUCACUCCCAAGUUAAGAAAUGCUUGGGGUAAAAUUCAGUGGCCUAAACACAGGCAUUUAGUGCUAUUUCAGGUUUUCUGUAUCUCAUACAUUCAUGUGGGGCUGACAGAUCUGACAGAGUGGGGUUCAGUACCCUUCUUAUGGAGUGACAGAUGAUCUGGUACAAUAUGAAAGCAUGCCAAAAGUGAUAUUGUUUAACUCUAGUUGGGCAACUGAAUCACACCUUUUUAAGAUGGAGAUAAUGUGUGAAGUCAGGAGCAAAAAUUUCACUGAUUUAUACCCCAUGGUUAUGAUAGCUGAAAAAAGUUAAUCACAACAUCUUGUCAGAUGUCUGCAAGAGUCUCACUGCCAGGGAGGUCUUCCUUCCCCAAACAUUAGCAAUACAAGAUAUUUUGUUGACUUUUACAGGAGUUGAAUAAGGACAUACGUGUCAGUCUUAAGAAUAUAUGCUACCUGUGAAAGACAUAACUGAGAUUUAUUAAGAUCCUUGUGUAUUCCCAAGAGAUGUGCUGUAAAUCCUGUUUACAUGACUAAAGCAAUCAAGUUUACCUGCAGAAAAAUAUAGUGGUGUCUGCAUUUGUUCAAGUUUGAUUAGUUGUCUUAGGAAGUUUUCUAUUUCAGUAAUUUUCAUGCUAGUAAAACAAUUGCCAAUAAAAUCAUAUCAUUACUUAAGCAGAACUAUCUUUUUGAUCAUUUAAACACUCAUUAAGGUCACUACUUGCAUUAUUUAUAAAACUUGCUUAAUAAAUUACAUACUUGAGAAUUACUGCUUGUGAACAUAAUUGUUUUUGUGAAUUGUGCAACUUUUUUAGCCUGAUAACUUGGCAAAAGAAAAUCAUUCCACCACGUGACUAUUUAUUUUGCUUUGCUGUGAUAGGAAUUUCAGCAUGAUCUUUGCUGAUAUGAAGUGACAUCUGAUUCAGUCUGUCCUAGCACAGUCCAGUAGCACCCUAGUUGAAAGGUAAUAUAUGAUACACCUUCAAAGUGGAUCGCUAGAUCCUAGAAAAUAUUUUGUAGUAUUAGAACUUAUCCUGAUAAAAAAGGUAGGAAAUGUGGCACAAUAUGAACAAUAUUGAAGUAGAUUAUUUACUUCCUUAAAAUGUAAAGACAGAGGCAUGGCAUAGUUGCCUGCCAACCACCUACAGAUUUCUUUUAAGGUGUAACUCUGCUAAUAAAAUGGCAAUCUGUGCUGAAAAUUAAUUUUAACAUAGGCAUUAGGAAGUCCUUAAAACCUUCUAAAGUUCCUUAGAAAACAUCACUGAGACAAGUACCAAAGAAGUAUACUGCAGUGGUUAGGAUUGCAUCAAAUAAAAGAGAAGGGUGAAAAGAGGAAACACAUGAACUUUCAGCACAGAAUUAUGAUGCUGAGAACAAAAUUAAUCAAGACACCAAAGGAUGAAGACAGAUGAAAUUCUUUAAUCUUUAAUUGCCUAUACACCAAUGAUAGGAGCUUGGGUAAUAAACAAGUAUAAUUGGAAUUGCUUAUUUAUGAGCAUAAACAUAGCCUCGUUGGUAUAUCACAAACCUGAGGAGAUGAUUCACAUGACUGGAAUGUUAAAAUCAACAUUUAUGCAUCUUAGGAAAUUUCAUUUAGGCAAAAUAAUAAGGGCAGGAGCACUUUUCCUUAAAAAACACAAAAGAAAAGUUCUAUCUUUUCUUGUGUCAGAGACAACUUUGGGAAAAAUGUAUGAUACCCAGUGUUCAUGUUAGUAAACUUGGGAAAGAAUAAUAUCUACAAAUAUAUGCUGCUCAGCAGUAAUGCAAAGAGAGCAAAUUUACAAAUACCAGAUCAUCAAAUCACAUUGUAAAUUGGAUGGCUGACUCCUUAACUACUUAUAAAAUUCAGGAACAAUUAAAAAUCUGAAGUGGUCUUCUGUAAUCUAGGAUACUUCAUUCUUCAUGGUAUAAAGCAAAAGCCUUGGACUACCAUUGGUAAAAUAUCUCUGUAAUUUCAUAUUAUUAUAUCAGUCAAUUCUCAGAUGUCCUCUCAAAAAAGCCAUGAAGAUAAAUGAGAGGGGAUUCAGAGAAGUACCACAGGAAUAAUUAAACACAGUUGAAGGCCACUGCAAAGUGAAAAACUCUUGAUAUUAAGGUUAUUUAUCUUACCAAAUGGAAGACUAAAACUGACUCUAUGAUGGUUUAUUAAAAACAAGACAAAACAACAACAAAAAAGGCAUUAAAAGAUAGUUAAUCAACAUAUAAGGAUAGUUUAUGUUCCAGCAUUCAACAUUUCCUUUAGGUACCUAAAAUAUUUUUUAUCCAUAGUGUGCAUAAGUAGUUCCUGGAAGACCACAGCACAGAUCCCUCUGCUACUAGAUAAGUAAUUGUGAAUCCAGAUUUUUUUCAAUGGAAGAAAAAUUGUGAUCUGAGAAGUGAAGCACCUUGGAAACUACUGGGUUACCUUUUCAUGCAGUUUUAGCUUACUUUGCCACCUUGCCAUGACAACACAGGUCAUCGCUCUGUCUUUGAUUUGUAAAUUUUGUCCAUCUUUGUUAGAAAUGUUUCUCUUAGCAAAGCAAAUCACACAAAAUGCUGCUGAGUAGUGGCUGUAAAAUGAAUAUAAUCUCUGGAUAAUUUCAGCUAUGGUACAAAGCAAUGGGUAUACAGUAUAAGGAAGAUAGAAAAAUCCUCAUCCAAUUGUUUGAAUAUCACUUUAUUACAACACUUUCUAUUAACAUCAUUAUGUACAUUAUAUAGAUUUCAUGCUUUCUGUAUAUGAGGCAACUUCUUUGUCACCUGCUGUAAAUUUCAUUAUGAUGGAGAGGUAAUGAGACAAAGUGUCAAAUUAUUUGAAAAUGAAAUUGCUGUACCUUGUGUAAAGAGCCUGUAAACUGCUACUGCUCAAUGAUUUACAUUAAUUUAAACCAAUUGUGUCCUUCAGAGGCUUGUAGUAUUUAAAUACCAGAGGCUCUAUUGAGGGUGAGUAAGCACAUCUGGACUGUACAUCCAUUAGCACAAAAAAUUUUCUUCUAAGGUUGUGAAAAAAGUUUCUGCAGUCUUUCUUUAAGAAGACAAUUGUUGAGAUAUUUCUCAUGAUUUAAAUUUUUUUUUCUUCUCCUGUGGUUAUAAAAGGCCACUAAGUAUAUAAAAUGGUAAUGCUAGUGUAAUAAAAGUGAUUAUAACUCCUGAGAGCUGUUCAUAUAUAUUAGAAAUAAUAUGUACUGUAAUAAAGAAUAAUUAGCAACUAGACGAGAACGUUCUGUCUGGUUGAUCUGACAACCUAGUUACAGUCACAAGGAAAUGUGACUCAGUAUCUGAAUACAUAAGGGAGGCAGGAAACUUUCUAAACUUAAUAAAGGUGAAUUCUAAAUUAUUUUUAAAUUUCAGUACAGAGCAUAAAAAUAUAAAAUCUUAACCAUGUAUCUUAUUUAACAAAACAUGCAUUCUAGAUCCUGAAGUACUCAUGUGACUCUCUUAAAAUUCACUGGUAUAAAAUUCCUUACUACCCAAAUUCUUUCAUUGUGUCUAACUGACGUUCCUUUACAGGUGUGAUGUCAGACUACUGGGUAGCUGGUAUAUCAGGCAAUCAGUACAAUAUUUUGGAUUUCAAGCGACCUGUGCUGCAUAGAUGCAAAGAAAGUUAAAUCAUAUGAAUUUCAUCUUCAUCCAUUUCAUUGACUGAAGUGACUGAUGGCCUACUCUUUAGCUCAAACAAAGAAGUUUUCAAAAAUUUUAUUCUUCUUCCUUUGGAUCUUGAUGAUUUUUAUCAUCUAUGCUUUCACACUUUUCUGUUCUCAAGAGCUGUUUCCUCGAAUGGUUCUCAUUUUUGUCUCUAAGGUGUCCAGUCCUACUGUAAUGAAACUACUGCCUUACUCUGAAGUCACUGUUUCUUUAUUUGAAACUUCUGCUAAAAAAGUGGAAUGUCAAAAUCAAAAAGCUUACUUAAGUCUAGAGUAAAGACAUCUUUGAAAUACAAAGGAUGUACUUGCUAGAAAAGAAAGUAUUUUGCACAAAAUUACACAAAACAUAACCAGCUAUGAUGCAAUAGGAUUUUAAUAAAGCAUCAGAAUCAAAAUUUAAUGAAAUCUUACUUAACAAACUCAGAUUGAUAGAAAUGAUUUGCUGUAAGCUGAGGAACAAGCAAGAGAUACUAAGGAUGAACAGUUCAAGGGUUUCCAUUCUUUCAGUCUCAGUUACAAGUGCAGAAACAAUGAGGGCAUUGGAAAAACAGAAGAGAUGUUUAUAAGAAAGGAAGUUCUAAGUCCUCCCUUUGUAUGGGAAAGUGAAAAGACCUGAACAAGUUUGUUUUGACUAAGGAAAUCCAAAUGCUACAGAUAAAAAUGGUACCAAAGUUUUUGGCAUGUGUGUUAGUGGUAUUAAGAUCUGAUACCAAGGAGAAGGAAUUCUUUUAUAGUCUUGUAAGGCAUGUGGUUGUACUAAGAGCAGGUCCCCAGGCACUGGGAGUGGAGGCUGUGGGGUGGUCUUUGUGGGGAGUGGCCAAGGCUGCAUUGUACUAGACCCAGCCAAUUCCAGAUGUCUCCAACUGACCCACAACAGGGCGUGGCUGGGCCCCGCAGCCAGAGUAGUAGUAUCUCAGGGAAAGUAUAUUUAAGAAGGGUAAAAUGCUGCAAAGGCAGUGAGAAGUGAGAAGUGCCGUGUAGAUCAUUCCCAAGGUAAAAGAAGGCGGCAGGGGUGGUGUUGCAGGUGCUGGAGCACAGAUUCCCCUGCAACCCAUGGUGAAGACCAUGGUAAGGCAGGGUAUCCCCCUGCAGACCAUAGAGGUCCAUGGGGGAGCAGAUAUACACCUGCAGUGCAUGGAGGACUCCACAGCAAAGCAAGUGGAUGUACCCUGAUGGAACUGCAGCCCAUGAAGGACCCACGGAAGAGGGAAAACUGUGAGGAGGAAAGGACAUUCCCCAUUCCUCAUGUUCCUCUGCUGCUCAGGACGAGAGAUGCUAGAGGAGUGGGGGGUGAAGGAGUAAAGUGGAGUCUGGAAGAAAGGGGGUGGAGGGAAGGUCUUCUAAAAUUUGUCUUUGUUUUUCUCCAUCUCACUCCUAUUUUUAUUACCAACAAGCAACCGUUCACUCUCUGUACCCCUGCCUUCCCCAGCAGCGUGGGAGAGAGUAUCAGAUGACUAAAAGUGUGAAAACUCAUGGGUUGAGAUAAAGACAAUUCAAUGGGACAGCAGAAAAUGAAGAAAGUAAUGAUUAUAAUAAUUAUUAAAAAAUUAGAAUAUACAAAACAAGUGAUGCACAAUACAAUUGCUCACCACUUUCUGACCGAUGCCCAGGAAGUUCCCAAGCAGCAACCCACAGCCAUCUUUCCUCUCAGUUUAUAUGCUGAGCCUUGUCACCAUACGGUAUGGAAUAUCACUUUGGCCAGUUUGGGUCAGCUGUCCUGGCUGUGUCCCCUCCCAACUUCUUUUGUCCCUCCUGGUAGGGUAUGAGAAGCUGAAAAGUCCUUGAUACACUCCUUAGGAACAACUAAACCACCAGUGUGUUAUCAACAUGACUGUCAUCCUAAAUCCGACAUACAGCACUAUAACAGCUACUAGGCAGAAAAUUGACUGCAACCCAGCCAAAACCAGGACACUAUGUCUUUACCUAGACCCAUGGGCUUUUCCAUCUUACUUUCUCCUCUGUCUUGUUGAGACAGAGAGAGCAGCUGGGUAGGCAUCAAUCAGCUGGCCAAAGUCAACCCAUCACAGCAGUUGAAUUAAAAGAAAAUGUGGGUUAAAUAUAAAUGAAUGCUUCAUAUCUAGCUGUGGAUAACCUCAAGGAGCAAUUGUGGUUGCCCCAUUGUUUGAGACAUUAGCUCUUAAAAAUGUACUCUAUGGAACAAGUCUGGAUCAAUUCUACGGAACAAAUCUGGCUAGAGAAUUUCUUUAUCUUUUUCACAUCUAACUUCAGUGAUUCAUAAGGACUGCUAUAUUGGCUGUAUUUUGCUUUGUUGUUGGCAGAGAACAGUGGGAAUGGAAUUGUGACAGAAUAUUCAUGGUAUUACCUGCUAUAUGUACCCCAAACUGAUUAUUAAGUUAUCUGCUGAAGUGAAAGAAAAUGGAAUUAUCACCUUGUAAGAAAAUAAAUUCCAACACUAGGGUCUCUUUCAUGGAGGUUUCUGAGGCGUAGUUGUUACUGCUGCAGUGCUAGAGCAUGAAAUAAAAAAAAGUGGAAAUUAUCUAAAAGCAGAACCACUUGCAUUUUUUCCUUUUAUUGAACCUACCCACUAAAUCCUGCUUUGAUGUAGCCAAAAUUUU